CAUUUCUUGUUACUGAAAUUUAAUACAAUCCUAGACAUCUUCUAAUAACAAUACUGCAGCUAGUUAAUAGAUAUAUGUAACUACUAACAGAAAUUAAUUUAACUAACAUGUGCUAGUCUAUUUUCCUAACAUGAAAUUGCUCUUUUACUAAAAAGCUCAAACAAACCUAAAAAAUAAUUGUUCAAUAGUUCUGUAUAGUUACAAGGUGAGUUUGAGCAAUCCUGUUUAAUAUUCAUACCAAUCUAUUUAAACAAAACUACUACUACAUAUUACACUAGCAAAAGCAAGCUCUUAUAGCUAAAAUUCUUUAUUUGAUUGAUUUCACUAUGAUUCAUGUACAUUGAUUGAAACCUCACACCACUAGGGAUAAAAUGUACCUAGAAUUGGGAAAAGAAAGAGGAAAAUACGCAGCAACAAUGUCACAGCAAGUAGGAUCAGUUGAAAAAUCAAGUUGCACCACCAUGAGUCAAGAAAUAUCGAAUAGAAGAUAGGUGACCCAUGCAAUCAACCCAAAACAGAAUCAUAUGACCAGUAUCAACUCAAAAUCAAACCAAAUAGCUCAAUUACACCCACAACUCAUUUAAAUUGGCAUACAGAAUACUCAGAAACUUUAGUGGUUGUAGGUGUGCUCAAGUUGGAGAAUCAGUGAUUAAAAUUCAACAUCAGUCUAGAGGAACUGAUGUAACCGUACUUGUUUUUGGAUUUUUUGUUGUUUUUCUAAAGAUUUGAGAGGCCUAAGAUCUAAAGGAGUUUGAAAUUUGAAUUUCAGAUCUAGGGAGCUUGGAGAAUAUUUUUAGUGGGAAUUUUGAGGCUCCAAACUUGUUUGCUAAGGCAUGGAAAUGCCCUUUAUAGGCAAAGAUAAGGGCAGCCCCCUAAUUUUCUGUUUUCGUUUU
rnacentral:lncRNA from 1 species